rnacentral:rRNA from 1 species
AUUGAACGCUGGCGGCAGGCUUAACACAUGCAAGUCGAGCGGGGGAAGGUAGCUUGCUACCGGACCUAGCGGCGGACGGGUGAGUAAUGCUUAGGAAUCUGCCUAUUAGUGGGGGACAACAUCUCGAAAGGGAUGCAAAUACCGCAUACGCCCUACGGGGGAAAGCAGGGGAUCUUCGGACCUUGCGCUAAUAGCUGAGCCUAAGUCGGAUUAGCUAGUUGGUGGGGUAAAGGCCUACCAAGGCGACGAUCUGUAGCGGGUCUGAGAGGAUGAUCCGCCACACUGGGACUGAGACACGGCCCAGACUCCUACGGGAGGCAGCAGUGGGGAAUAUUGGACAAUGGGCGGAAGCCUGAUCCAGCCAUGCCGCGUGUGUGAAGAAGGCCUUUUGGUUGUAAAGCACUUUAAGCGAGGAGGAGGCUACUUAGAUUAAUACUCUGGGAUAGUGGACGUUACUCGCAGAAUAAGCACCGGCUAACUCUGUGCCAGCCGCCGCCGUAA